CACGGAGCCUGAGUGCGCUGCCCGGCCGCCCCCCCCCCCCCCCCGCCCCCUUUCUGGGCGGCGCGGCCUCCCCCGUGGCCGCGGCCCGGGCGGAGCGGGUGGCGGAGCCGCCACGGGAGGGGCCGCUGCGGCGCGGCGGGUUAAUGUUGAAGAAGGAAAAUGCGGAAGUCGCCAUUUGACAAGUUUUAUAAAUGAGAAUUAUUUGAAGCUCAGGAAUAAGUGAAGCUGAAAUUUGAAAAAAAAGAAAGUGAAUGCAUGCUAUUUAUCAGACCAGAAGUCCCACUUGUAGAAUAUUGAGCAAUUUGUGUGAAGUGGGGAAGAUGAAAGAAGUCAGAAUUUGAAACGGAAGAAUGAAGAA